rnacentral:lncRNA from 1 species
UUUCAAAUCCAACACAUAGAUUAUCCUGAUCAAGAUUUUGCUAAAUUGAAAUACACUGAUGUAUUAACUCCUACUUAUUCAAAAGGAUCAGUCCCAUCUUGACUCAUGCAUCGAUUUGAUAAGUACUUGACUACAUCCAAAAAUUUUUCAUUACUGAAUUAGAAAUUCAGAUGGUCCGACGCCAAAGUAUAGUGAGUUGCUUACAAGUUA